UCCCUGGUGGUCCAGUGGCUAAGACUCUGUGGUCCCAAUGCAGGGGGCCUGGGUUCGAUCCCUGGUCGGGGAA
rfam:Ovis aries breed Texel chromosome 17, whole genome shotgun sequence.